AGAAUAUUUAAUUAUUAAAGUAAUUAUUAAUAUUUAAUUAUUAAUUAAAUAUCAUGUUAUAUGGCGAGUAAACAAAAACUAGCAGCAACAAUCAAAACCAAUGAAACACUUUAAAACUUUUGAAAAACUAAAUCUAUCCUAACCUUAAAGGAAGAUUUCCUUUAUGUGAACCAUGGACAAACUUGAGAGAGAUCUAUGCUUCUUUCCUUCUUAGUUGUUUUACUUUUAGGAUCACAAUUCAAAAUAAUAAUGGACAACACCAUUGGACAAAUUCAGAUAGCAGUAAAUGAAGUAGACCAGAAAUUGAGAGAAAGUAAAAAAGUGACUUUGUCUUUCUCUGAGUUAAUUAUUUUUCUAACUUUGAAUUUCCUGUCCACUAAUCACAUUAAUGGAGAAAGAGGUUCAAAUUCAUUUUUGAUUAUACAGUCAUUGUCAAAAACAAAAAAAUCAGAAACCAAGAAGGAAUUGUCAGAAUCAAAU
rnacentral:lncRNA from 1 species